AUACUUCCUUCAGCAGCAUAUAUACUAAAACUAAAAUUAUACAGAGAAGAUUAGCGUGGCCCCUGCGUGAGGAUGACAUGCAAAUUCCUGAAGUGUUCCAUAAUUUU